rnacentral:rRNA from 1 species
CAGCCGCCGCGGUAACACGGAGGGUGCAAGCGUUAAUCGGAAUUACUGGGCGUAAAGCGCACGCAGGCGGUCUGUCAAGUCAGAUGUGAAAUCCCCGGGCUUAACCUGGGAACUGCAUUUGAAACUGGCAGACUGGAGUCUUGUAGAGGGGGGUAGAAUUCCAGGUGUAGCGGUGAAAUGCGUAGAGAUCUGGAGGAAUACCGGUGGCGAAGGCGGCCCCCUGGACAAAGACUGACGCUCAGGUGCGAAAGCGUGGGGAGCAAACAGGAUUAGAUACCCCGGUAGUCCCUGUCUCUUAUAA